rnacentral:rRNA from 1 species
GACGAACGCUGGCGGCGUGCUUAACACAUGCAAGUCGAACGGAAAGGCCCUGCUUUUGUGGGGUGCUCGAGUGGCGAACGGGUGAGUAACACGUGUGUAACCUGCCCUUGACUUUGGGAUAACUUCAGGAAACUGGGGCUAAUACCGGAUAGGAGCUCCUGCUGCAUGGUGGGGGUUGGAAAGUUUCGGCGGUUGGGGAUGGACUCGCGGCUUAUCAGCUUGUUGGUGGGGUAGUGGCUUACCAAGGCUUUGACGGGUAGCCGGCCUGAGAGGGUGACCGGCGACAUGGGGACUGAGAGACGGCGCAGACGCGUACGGGAGGCAGCAGGGGGGAAUAUUGCACAAUGGGCGGAAGCCUGAUGCAGCAACGCCGCGUGCGGGAUGACGGCCUUCGGGUUGUAAACCGCUUUCGCCUGUGACGAAGCGUGAGUGACGGUAAUGGGUAAAGAAGCACCGGCUAACUACGUG